rnacentral:lncRNA from 1 species
CUAAUGUAACAUGAUAUUCAGAUUUAAAAUAAUUUUAUAUAUAAAUUUUAUAUUAUUAUAAUAAAUCAUAAAUUACUUUAAAUCUAAUCUAAAUAUAUUUAUAAUUAAAAUAAUUCAUAAGAAUCUAUUCAUUUUUUUUUCAUGAAAUCAGAUCACAAUAACAUCCCUACACGUCAUAAGAGAACCCAUCGAAUAGACAAAAGAGAGAAUAAUCUUUUCAAUCUCCUA